UGUGCGGGGAAUUGCUUAGUAAUAAGUCUCUCAAAAGGAAAACAUUUAAAUGACACAACCUGACCAAACAUCAACAGCAGGGAGUUCUUUCAGAACAGGGUGGAAUGCUUCAGGAAACUGCUUCGACAGUGGAAAAAUGGCUUGUCAUCAUUGAUUAGUCCAAAGGAUAUGAACAUCCUACUCCUAACCUGGACGACGCUAGGGCAAUUGCGUGCCGCCCUAUGGGACUCCCGAUCAUGGCCGGUAGUGAUACUGCCCAGGAUCGAACCAAGGUCUGUAGUGAUGCCUCUAGCACUGAGGUGCAGUGCCUUAGACCGCUGCGCCACUCGGGAGUACAGUAGGGAGAAGUCUUCCAAGUUUGUCCCAAAGUCUUGGGACUGUUUCAAGGUCUACGGAAGACCCAUACGGACAUAGUUUUGGGUAAAGUGGGCUAACAAAGCCUCCGAACUCCCUGUGUCUCAAAUUCUCUCACAUGGGCGUGCUCGGGUUGGACGUGGCGCUUCUGAAUCUGCCGCUUUUGACCUUAUGUAAUGAAGAAAUAGCUCAGAGGGCAAAGUGACUGUGUCUGUCAACCACGUUCGACCCUCUCUAAGCCCUGCCUCCCUACGGGACAAUAUGAAGCGUAUAAUCCCAUUAGCUCUUAUUACCUGGCUGCCAGUUAGAGGGUAUGAUGACUUCACAGACUAAGUAAGCAUGACUGUUAAUUGUUAAUUCUAUUGUUGAACAGUCAGCGACAGUCUGACGAUGAGGAACGCAGCCACAGAUUUUAGUGAUAAUGGCUGUAACAGCCAUUGACAAUGUGACAGUGCAUUAACCGCAGUGCCGGAUAUGCUCCAUUUACGGUUUGUACCAAUACUGUGUAAAGUUUGUACCUGUGAUUAUUAAGAGGGAAUAAAAUAGAAAAGAGUAUAAAUAAACACUGUUUAUUUUGGUAUUUUAUGAAUUUAUCAUGCCUUCUCAAGCCUG